GCUCUAAACAGCAUAAAAUACUUCUUUAAAACAUGCAACAGCAGGUUCCUAGUAUGACAUCGUCCGUUUUCCUAAAUGCGUCAAGAAGGGUCUAACAGCAGGACCUCAGGGGCUGGGAAAGUUAUUCAGUCCCCCUGUUCUUCCCCCCCCCAGAGAUGGCUAUGCUGCUGGGCCACCCGCAGCAAAGAUCCAUCUGUAGCAGAGGUGAACCUUGGCCCAACACACCAAGGACAAAGUUCAGCUAACAGCAAGGGAAACCAAAGCAGAGGGUCGAUGAGGUACUUCUCUGAGUACAAAGCUCAGCACCUGCAGGUCCCAGGGAAGCCUGUGAAACUUGUUUUCCCAAAACACAGACAGCACCAGUUUCACCAAGGACAGCAAGGACCUGUGGAAACACUUUACUUGGAAACAGUUCCUACACUACACCAGCAGUG
rnacentral:lncRNA from 1 species